UUUGAAGCUGCAGAAAAGUGAAUAAUCAAUUAAGUAUUGAUUUCUUGUAAGAUUUGGUAAAUUUCAAAGGCAAGACAAAGAGGAUGGCUUAAGGAAACACUGCAGGGACUUGGCGUAAAUUAGACAACUAACGGAGAUGCAGAAUAAAAUAACACCUCAAGUGAAGAUUUCCUUGGAAGAAUUAGCACUAGCUAUUGGAAGACAACGGUGGAUUUAAUCAAAAUAGAAGGCACGCAAGAAUUUCACCCGUGAACGAGAAAAAGGAGCUAAUUAUAACCACCUUUUAAAUGGAGCUAAUUUGACUGAAUGGAUGCAAAUGUGCUUUACUUAUGGAUGAAGAAACAAGCCUUUCUGCAUGAUCUUGGGAUCAUUUUAUCUGCUAAGCAUUGCAGCUCCUGUGCCCUUCUACACAUUUUUAUUUCCAGAGAAGGUAUUUAUAUGUAAACAAGAGCUAACCAUGCAAAAGAUUCAUCCAUCGGGACAAUAGACUACGGUGAAGUCUUCUUAUGAAGUGGAUUUGCUCCUUCAUCUUUCAGUACAUGAUGUCAGUCUCAAGCAAUAGCAGGCCUUUUAUUUCCCAGAAGAUACUCAUCACUGUGGGCAAACUAAUGACACAUGUUAAGGAAUUCAGUCUUAUGGAAAUCAUCUAA
rnacentral:lncRNA from 1 species